CUUUGAAGUGUGGACGCCAGUCUGCAUGGAGCCGACCUUGAAAUACCACCCUUUAAUGUUUGAUGUUCUAACGUUGACCCGUAAUCCGGGUUGCGGACAGUGUCUGGUGGGUAGUUUGACUGGGGCGGUCUCCUCCUAAAGAGUAACGGAGGAGCACGAAGGUUGGCUAAUCCUGGUCGGACAUCAGGAGGUUAGUGCAAUGGCAUAAGCCAGCUUGACUGCGAGCGUGACGGCGCGAGCAGGUGCGAAAGCAGGUCAUAGUGAUCCGGUGGUUCUGAAUGGAAGGGCCAUCGCUCAACGGAUAAAAGGUACUCCGGGGAUAACAGGCUGAUACCGCCCAAGAGUUCAUAUCGACGGCGGUGUUUGGCACCUCGAUGUCGGCUCAUCACAUCCUGGGGCUGAAGUAGGUCCCAAGGGUAUGGCUGUUCGCCAUUUAAAGUGGUACGCGAGCUGGGUUUAGAACGUCGUGAGACAGUUCGGUCCCUAUCUGCCGUGGGCGCUGGAGAACUGAGGGGGGCUGCUCCUAGUACGAGAGGACCGGAGUGGACGCAUCACUGGUGUUCGGGUUGUCAUGCCAAUGGCACUGCCCGGUAGCUAAAUGCGGAAGAGAUAAGUGCUGAAAGCAUCUAAGCACGAAACUUGCC
rnacentral:rRNA from 1 species